rnacentral:lncRNA from 1 species
CCAGACUGCAUGGAUGAGCAAGCUGGUCUGGAUCCAUGCUGGUCGCAAAUGCACUUUGUUGGUUUUCUCAUGGCGCGGCUCAUAUAAAUUGACAGAAAAAAAAAAGAUGAAAAACAAAAAAUAAAGGAUGUAGGGGAGAAAGUAGAAACAUUUCAGGUGGAAAUAGAAGAUAAUAUGUAAUAUAGUCGAGCAUAUGUGUUUAUGUAAAAAAUCAAGGUGAUUUCAAAUGUAUGUUGAGGUCCCCCUACGCAUUUAACAAUUUUUGUCAUUUGUGUACAUCAUUUUUACUUGUCAGACCAAAAAUAAGGUUUUCUUAAUGUAAUAAUAAAUGUCAUUGCAUUUGCUUAAUAAUAGUUAUCAUAUUAAUUAUGUCAUCAUGUACUUGGUUGUUCAUGUGAGGUUAUAUAACAUUUGUGUUGAAAUAGAAUCAGUGCUACUUACUUGUAAAUAAUUACGGUAAUUAUUUAAUGUAAUUUACCUCGACCAUUCUAACAUACAGUGAUUGCCCGAUUUAAAAACAAGCUUUUUGUGACUUUUUCCCCCAUCUUUUGUUGGGAAAUGGAUAAGAAUUAUAUUGCAAUAGUUUUAAGACUGAACAUGUUGCAACUUAACCUUUAGCAUGCUAGAUAAAUUGUCGUCUGCUGGAAAUGUCGUCUGCUAAAAUCGUAAAGUUCAUUCAAUUUGCUCCAAAAUUGGAAGAAAUAUUGUCAUAGUAGCAAACAGCUUGGAACCUGAUCAGACGCCGAUUUAAUCGGCGUCUGAUCUGGUUCCAAGCUGUUUGCAAAGGCUGUUAAAUUCGCCUGCAGCAGGCUAAGGGUUAAUAUUGUAUGUAGUAUUUCAUGUUAACAGUUUGGUUGUGAUUUAGAAUAAAUUUAUCAUUAUAUGCACUAUACAGAACUGUUAAUCAGAAGAACGAGAUUAUACACUUAAACCUGCCUUAAUGGUCAUAUCUAUUAAACAACCACUUGCCAUAAGCAGCCAGGCAGCUAACUUCCCACAUUGAUUUUUUGUAACAAUUUCGCCUUGUUUUAAGCAAUCUGCUGCCCCCUUAGCCUGCUGGUAGCAAGUGAUUAUGCCUUUGCAACCAGUGCAGACCAAGAUCAGCCUGCACAUCCAUGCAGUCUGAUUAUGGUCUGCACUGUUCGCUAUUCAGUCAGUAAUUUUUCAAAGAAUACCCCUUUGAAUAAUAAAUGGUAUUGUCCAAAUUGAAUGAUGGACCAGUCCAUUUUAGAAAUUUAGCAGGCUAAAGGGUAAGCUGUCCAAUUGUGUGGCUGCCUUGGCUGGCUGCGUAAUACAGGUUUGACUGUAGUUCUAAAAUUCAAAUCAGAAUCAUUCUUAAAUCCUCUAGACAGGCUUUCAAGUGGCCCUAAAAUACCUAAAAAAAGUCCUAAUUAUUGUAGGCCUCCCUAAAAUUCCUAAAAAAAAAACACUAGGAAAGGGCCAAAUUCCUAAAAAAAAAGCCUGUAUUUUUCAAAUUAUCCCUUAUUCUUUGAAAUUUCUGUCUGAACUUAAAACAUUUUUGCACAAAGUCAUGCAUAUAAUGAACCAGUUAACUUAUUGAAGUUAAUAUUCUUUAAGUUUCAUUUACAGAGGAUGCUUUGAUCUAUCAGGAGCCCUUUUAGGCAAAAGUAGCCCUAAUUUUAUUCCUAAUUUUUCUCCACAUAGUGCUUGAAAGCCUGCCUGUAUUCUUCUCAAGCUGUCAGCCAAUGUAUAAUUCAGAGAUAUUGUUAUCAGAAUAUAUAUGUAUUUAAAUUUUGCAAUAGAAGUAUGGACUUCUAGAUAGUUAGGUUGAUAAUAAGCCAACAUAAGUUCAUGCAUUGGUUGAAGAACUUGCCUUGAAAUUAGCCAGUUGAGUUUUUUACAUAUUAUUUAGCUGAAUUGGCUAAAGCAUUUAUUACUUGGCUGUUGAACUGAUACCAGUUUCUGUAUUUAAAUUAUAUUUAUUUGGUUUACAUUAUUUGAACAAGUGUUAGUCCUGCAUUUUAUUGUUGUAUUGUCAUUUGCAUAAACAUUUUAUUAUUAAUUAUUAGAAUUAUAAAGAAAAUAUCUGCCAAUUUUCUGAAACCUAACAUAAAUAUCAUAUAGAAAAGAUCUGCCCUGUUUCAAACAUAAAUAUAUAGAAAAGAUCUGCCUCAUUUCUAAGACAGAUAUAGAGAGAAGAUCUACCUGGUUUCUAACAUAAUUAUCUUUUAGCUUCUAACACAAAUAUGUAGAAGACGUCUGGCUGGUGACUAAAACGAAUACAGGUUUCGUUUUUGUUAAAAUGGCUCCUUAUAUUUUUUGAGAUAUUUAAAACAGAUAGUAAAUAAAAUAACAAAAUCACAGUUAUUUUGGAAUUUCAUUUUUACUUGUACCUAUUUAAACAUAGAAACAGAAUAUUAUGGAAAAUAAUUGAUGUAAAUAUUGUCGUUACAUUGUUAAUAUUUUUGUGUUGUGGUUGUAAAAAGCCUUAAUAUGUUAUUUCUUGCAGCUUUUUCUAGUCUAUAUAGUUAAUAUAAUAGUUACCUGCUCACUGUCUUUAAUUGCUUUAUAUAAUUGAUCCACACUUGCUUUUUAUACAGGAAUACUAGCUUGAGGAAAUUGUUUACUAACAUAAGGAAAUUGUUUUCUUUUUUUUUUCCCCCUUUUCACUCAUUGUCAAAAACAGGUCAAAUUCACUAUUUUGUUAACUUCUGAUCACAUAGUGUUUAGCCAGUCUUGUUUUAAUCUAUGAUUGUAGGAACGUUUCUAGGUAAUAAUAGAAUCUCAGUGUCUUGUACUUACUCAAGUACUAGAUGAACACUUAUUUUUUUUUUUUUUUUUUUUUUUUUA